rnacentral:rRNA from 1 species
UACGUAGGGUGCAAGCGUUGUCCGGAAUUAUUGGGCGUAAAGAGCUUGUAGGCGGUUUGUCGCGUCUGCUGUGAAAUUUCGGGGCUCAACCCCGAACUUGCAGUGGGUACGGGCAGACUAGAGUCAGGUAGGGGAGAACGGAAUUCCUGGUGUAGCGGUGAAAUGCGCAGAUAUCAGGAGGAACACCGGUGGCGAAGGCGGUUCUCUGGGAAUGUCCUGACGCUGAGGAGCGAAAGUGUGGGGAGUGAACAGG